GAAAAAACAAAUUUUGUGCUUAUCAAGUUUGUCCAACUAAAAUUUCUCAAUGAAACAAUGGUAGAUCCUGAAUAUGCAAAUGCAUUAGCAUGAUCUCGUCAAUAAUGAUGAUUACAAAGAAAACUAUCUGAUAAAUAAAACGUUGAUGUCACACCACAUAUAUCUUUUGGUGAGACCACCAUAAAAAUCUCAAACAUCUACCUAACUGGAAAGUAUCAUACACGAGUAACUGAGGGCAGGAGAGACGUGUUACCAUCCUUGAACUAACGGAACUCAUCAUGGUCUUCAUAGUCUUCAUCAUCCUCAUUGAAUAUUGCACUAUAGAAAACAUACGGGCUAUCAAUCAUCUCUUUCAGAGUAAGCCUUCCGUCUUUAUCUGCAUCAGCCUGUUGUAUGAUGUAAUCUGCUUGUUGCUUUGCAUAGUAACGCUCUGAUGGAUGAAGCUUUCCAAUUAUAGGUAGCAAUUCAGCUUCUGACAAAUAUCCAUCCCCAUCUUUAUCAAGCUCUGCAAACAACUUUCUGGCUGGAGACUCUUGUGAAUCCUCAGAAUGAUGAGAAGUAUCAUGACUCUCCUCGUCAUAGUUUCUUACCAAGUCAAACAGCCCGUGAAAGAACUCGUUGAAAUUAACCUUGCCAUCUUUGUCACUAUCUCUCUCCCUUAUUUCCUCCUUGCAGAGCCAGUGAAGUAGUUUUGGGUUGGUCGUAUCGGCGGGAUGUAGAAAGUCAUUAAACUCAGUAAUGUUUAGAAGCCCAUCUCCAUCUAUAUCUGACGCAUUAAAGUGAUCUUCUUUCCACCAGCCCAUAUCAUAUCCAAAAGAAGAAUUAUCUGAAUUCCGAACCCA
rnacentral:misc_RNA from 1 species